CAAGCUCAGGGAGAAUGCUCUUCACGAGCACCUUUUACGAAAGCAACCUAGAAUCUUAUAUAUAUGCUACCAAAAAGAAGGUCUCAAAGAAACACAGGGAAGUAAAAAAGCUGGUUGGAGAAGAACGAAGCUGAGCAGAAAAAGGGAAUGUUGCUUCAUACCUUUUUAUGUCUUUAAAAUUAGAGAGAGUUAACAUGACAAAUCUUUGUAACAGGACUGCUAUGUGGAGCAAGCCAGUGUUCACGUCAGAUGUAGUGUACACCAAUGUACAUAUUCUGCAAAACAAGGUUAAGAAGGUGAAUAGAAUUCCAAAGCCAAAGAUAGAGAAAGCAAGCAAGAAGGAGAAUGCAACGGAGGAGGAUAAAUCAAAAGGCUCUGAAGACAACACCAAUGCUUAUGAAUCUGAAGCUGGUGCCAAAGAAGAAGGGGGCCACGACUAGCUUAGAUUAACAUCACACACAUAAUAAUAGAGUUUUCCAUUAAAAUUAUAUUAUAUAUAUAUAUAUAUAUUUAUUAAACUUAUAUUUUGUAUGUGUUUAAGUGUCAGAUAGGAGGUUGGUUAGUAAAAAAGCCAACCUAAGCUGAGCAAAAGGAUUUGAUUUCAUUCUCAACCUCUUUAUCAUAUCAAGUUUGGUGUCUUUUUCUAUUCUUCUUUAAAAUAUUACAU